UGAUGACGAGGCACUACGGUGCUGAAGCAACAAAUGCCCUGCUUCCAGGAAAAGCCUCUAAGCAUCAGGUAACAUCAAAUCGUACCCCAAACCGACACAGGUGGUCAGGUAGAGAAUACCAAGGCGCUUGAGAGAACUCGGGUGAAGGAACUAGGCAAAAUGGUGCCGUAACUUCGGGAGAAGGCACGCUGAUAUGUAGGUGAAGUCCCUCGCGGAUGGAGCUGAAAUCAGUCGAAGAUACCAGCUGGCUGCAACUGUUUAUUAAAAACACAGCACUGUGCAAACACGAAAGUGGACGUAUACGGUGUGACGCCUGCCCGGUGCCGGAAGGUUAAUUGAUGGGGUCAGCGCAAGCGAAGCUCUUGAUCGAAGCCCCGGUAAACGGCGGCCGUAACUAUAACGGUCCUAAGGUAGCGAAAUUCCUUGUCGGGUAAGUUCCGACCUGCACGAAUGGCGUAAUGAUGGCCAGGCUGUCUCCACCCGAGACUCAGUGAAAUUGAACUCGCUGUGAAGAUGCAGUGUACCCGCGGCAAGACGGAAAGACCCCGUGAACCUUUACUAUAGCUUGACACUGAACAUUGAGCCUUGAUGUGUAGGAUAGGUGGGAGGCUUUGAAGUGUGGACGCCAGUCUGCAUGGAGCCGACCUUGAAAUACCACCCUUUAAUGUUUGAUGUUCUAACGUGGACCCGUGAUCCGGGUUGCGGACAGUGUCUGGUGGGUAGUUUGACUGGGGCGGUCUCCUCCUAAAGAGUAACGGAGGAGCACGAAGGUUGGCUAAUCCUGGUCGGACAUCAGGAGGUUAGUGCAAUGGCAUAAGCCAGCUUGACUGCGAGCGUGACGGCGCGAGCAGGUGCGAAAGCAGGUCAUAGUGAUCCGGUGGUUCUGAAUGGAAGGGCCAUCGCUCAACGGAUAAAAGGUACUCCGGGGAUAACAGGCUGAUACCGCCCAAGAGUUCAUAUCGACGGCGGUGUUUGGCACCUCGAUGUCGGCUCAUCACAUCCUGGGGCUGAAGUAGGUCCCAAGGGUAUGGCUGUUCGCCAUUUAAAGUGGUACGCGAGCUGGGUUUAGAACGUCGUGAGACAGUUCGGUCCCUAUCUGCCGUGGGCGCUGGAGAACUGAGGGGGGCUGCUCCUAGUACGAGAGGACCGGAGUGGACGCAUCACUGGUGUUCGGGUUGUCAUGCCAAUGGCACUGCCCGGUAGCUAAAUGCGGAAGAGAUAAGUGCUGAAAGCAUCUAAGCACGAAACUUGCCCCGAGAUGAGUUCUCCCUGACCCUUUAAGGGUCCUGAAGGAACGUUGAAGACGACGACGUUGAUAGGCCGGGUGUGUAAGCGCAGCGAUGCGUUGAGCUAACCGGUACUAAUGAACCGUGAGGCUUAACCUUACAACGCCGAAGGUGUUU
rnacentral:rRNA from 1 species